GCCCCUCUUUAAAAGCGCGAGAAGGACCACCACGCACGAAGCCCUUGCCAUGGAUCUCACCGAGAGUGCUCGCCGAUCCUUUUGUCCCCAGCUUCCUGUACACCUCCUCAUCCUCGAGAUCGCUAGCCCGUGGCGGAUCGUUCUUGGUCCAGGCUCCCAACGAGCCGCUCAGGACCGAAAUGUACUCUCCGAUGUUCUAUGCGGCUUACACCGCCGGCGGAAUCGCGAGAUGUGGGCUGACGCACAUGGCUGUCACUCGUGAAGUGCAACAUGCCGAUUACUUCAACAAAGUACAAGAGCAUCUCAUCUGGGGUUAGGGUCAUGCUAAAAGAGCAAGGCUUGAGAGGUUCCUUUAAGGACUGGCUGCCUACCUUGCUGGGGUAUAGUGCUCCGGGUGCUUACAAAUUUGGAUUCUAUGACAUCUUUUAGAAGUACUACUCUGGUAUAGCUGGUCCUGAAUAUGCUGUAUCUACCUUAUGGGGUUUGCAUCUGCUGAAGUAAUCACUCCAUGGAGGCUUUGAAGGUCUGUGUUCAGACACGGCCAAGAUUUGCUGGGGCCCUGUCAAAUGAAGGUUCCUUGGGGGUUGUAUAAAGGGCUGGUUCCACUUUGGGGUUGUCAGAUUCCUUAUAUAAUUUCUCUGCAAUGUAAACUUUCUGAAGUUGGAUACUUACCUGCCCAGCAUGCAAAUAACCUUGAAACACAUUUCUCCUCGUGAUGCCCUACUUUCGAAUCUAUUGUUGCAUGGUUUUACGCGAAUCUUUGUCCAACUUUAAGAUAUAUAUAUUUCAUUUUUUAGUGGAUUGGUGAACACCAAUCACAUAUUUCAGCUGUCUUUCCACCUUGUCAAUCACAUAUCUCUAUUGGUUUCCACCUGGCUUUUUAAGGAUGUAACUUUUGGCUCUGAUGAAAUUCAUGUACUUAUUAUCUUUGACUUUUGUCCCAUCUCCUUGUUCUUGGUAAUGGCAUAAGGGCAUCAUUUGGAUAUAUCCUUGUCUGUCUGGUUUCAAAUUGUUAGAAAGAUGCUAUUAGGUGGCUUGUAAGUAUGUUGCAAAAUGUCUGAUGACAGUGUGGGCAAUAGCAUGAAUAUUAGCUGGGCCUGAUAUAUUUUCUUGAUUCAAUCCAGAAAACAUUCCUACAAUUGUAACAUAAGCAAUGAUUAUAUAUU